rnacentral:rRNA from 1 species
UACGAAGGGAGCUAGCGUUGUUCGGAAUUACUGGGCGUAAAGAGUACGUAGGCUGUUUUUUAAGUUAGGUGUGAAAGCCCCGGGCUCAACCCGGGAAUUGCACUUAAAACUGAAAAGCUAGAGAUUGGGAGAGGAAAGUGGAAUUACUAGUGUAGAGGUGAAAUUCGUAGAUAUUAGUAAGAACACCAGUGGCGAAGGCGACUUUCUGGACCAAUACUGACGCUGAGGUACGAAAGCGUGGGGAGCAAACAGG